rnacentral:tRNA from 1 species
GCCCACCGAGUUCGGAUGGCAGAACACCGGAGUGAAAACCCGGAGGCUCGCGGUUCGACCCCGCGGGUGGGCAC